rnacentral:rRNA from 1 species
UACGGAGGAUCCAAGCGUUAUCCGGAUUUACUGGGUUUAAAGGGUGUGUAGGCGGGCUUUUAAGUCAGCGGUGAAAUCUCCGGGCUCAACCUGGAAACUGCCAUUGAUACUAUUAGUCUUGAAUUUUGUUGAGGUAGGCGGAAUAAGUCAUGUAGCGGUGAAAUGCAUAGAUAUGACUUAGAACACCAAUUGCGAAGGCAGCUUGCUAAACAAAUAUUGACGCUGAGGCACGAAAGCGUGGGGAUCAAACAGG